UCAGGUGGAGAUGGGCUCGAUGAGCCAGUUCGUAAGAGCAAGCGGGCUCCUAAGAGAAGCACCUUGGGUGCUGGAUUUAAUGAAGAAGAUGAUGAAGAUGAAGAAAUCCAAUUCCUUGAAAGAUUAAGCGCAUCUAAGGUUGCUCGUUCAGAGAGAAUUCAAAUGGACAUUCGCUUUCAUGGAGAUGAUAGCGGAGAGUAUAAACCCUCAAGGCUGGGAAAAACUAGUAAAAAAAGGUCAAGCUCGGAAAAAAUGCACGAGGAUAAAGAUUACUUGGGAGAAGAAGAUGAAGAAGAAUUGACAUCUGAUGAUGAACCUGAACCGAACGGGAAGAAGCUGAAAACAGGAUCUCUUAGUCUACUUCUAGAAGGGAGGAAAUAAUCGACCCUCACUACACGUAACCGGACCCUGCAGCCCGGAAAAGAUAUCUUUCCUGGUUCAGGUUUUCUUGACAUUGCAAGUGAUUUGCUUCCUGUCCCAUCUAAAAUUUUUCUGUUGGCUGGUUGACCACAGGCAAGAAGGAGGCAAUGUCUGAAGUGGAACGACAAUUAAAGAAAGCUGAGGCUGCACUGAGACGAAAAGUGAAGUUAGAGAACGCAGCUAGGGAAGCUGAGGCUGGGGCAAUCAGAAAACACUUGGUCAAGACUCGAAGAAGAAGAAGGAAGAAAACUGAAGCAGCAAAGGGACGAAUUGAAUCAGGUCUUUGAGUUAUUAUAGUUCUUUGCAUUUAUUCACAUGCAGUAUUAACUAUAAUAUUCAUGCAGGGCAGGACCGGCAGUGCUGUCACACUGGCACCAAACACUGUUCGAUGGGUCAUCGGUCCUAAUGGAACCACCGUUACAUUUUCUGACAAUAUGGUCUGCCUAGUAUUUUCAGUCCAGUGCCUUGCAGCUAUCCUCCCCCACGUGAAAAAUGUGCGGGUCCAAACUGCACGAAUGCAUACAAGUAUCGGGAUUCCAAGUCGAAGCUUUCCCUGUGCAGUCUCCAGUGUUACAGAUACACGAAAAGAUGCAGCCUCCAAUUGCUUGCUAAUACCAUCUCCUCCUGCACAUCAUCUUGAACCAGCUAAUAUGUUCGAUAUAGGCCGCUGGAAGCAGGAUAACGGAAAGCUCAUCAAAUUUUGAGUCAUGCGCCCUGAUACCGGUCAUGGAAUAGCGUAGCAUCAUCUCUUCCUAUAUUAUUUGCUGAUCACUAAUGUUGUUAGAAUAGGAGAUUAUACUGCAACUACAACUAAGUAGAAUAGUUAGAUAUAUGAAAGAACAGAUGCGAUUCGGUGCUACGAUGAGAGAUCACAAACUUGUUUGAUCCCGUGUUUCUCGUAGCAAUUGAAAAGUUUCUGUUUAUGGACAGGUUGUCGACUUGGGAUGAAAUAUUUCACUGCAGAACGUGCAGGGUUGAAUUCAAGAUAGAAAAACCCAAAGCUUAUGCUAA